GGGGGCGUAGCUCAAUUGGGAGAGCGUCGCGUUCGCAAUGCGAAGGUCGAGAGUUCGAAUCUCUUCGCCUCCA
rnacentral:tRNA from 1 species